rnacentral:rRNA from 1 species
AGGGGUAACAGGCCGCUUCGGUGGUGCUGACGACCGGCGCACGGGUGCGUAACGCGUAUGCAACCUACCUUUAACUGGGACAUAGCCCCGAGAAAUCGGGAUUAAUAUCCCAUAAUAUCCAGAAAACGCAUGUUUUCUGGAUUAAAGUUCCGGCGGUUAAAGAUGGGCAUGCGUGGCAUUAGUUAGUUGGUGAGGUAACAGCUCACCAAGGCAAUGAUGCCUAGGGGUCCUGAGAGGGUUUCCCCCACACUGGUACUGAGACACGGACCAGACUCCUACGGGAGGCAGCAGUAAGGAAUAUUGGGCAAUAGGCGCAAGCCUGACCCAGCCAUGCCGCGUGCAGGAUGACGGCCCUAUGGGUUGUAAACUGCUUUUGUAUGGGAAAAAACUCCCGCACGUGUGCGGGACUGAUUGUACCAUACGAAUAAGCAUCGGCUAACUCCGUGCCAGCAGCCGCGGUAAUACGGAGGAUGCAAGCGUUAUCCGGAUUCAUUGGGUUUAAAGGGUGCGCAGGCGGAUUAGUAAGUCAGUGGUGAAAGCUCCCGGCUCAACCGGGAAAAUGCCAUUGAUACUGUUAAUCUUGAGUACAGUUGAGGUAGGCGGAAUGUAUCAUGUAGCGGUGAAAUGCAUAGAUAUGAUACAGAACACCGAUAGCGAAGGCAGCUUACCAAACUGUAACUGACGCUCAUGCACGAAAGCGUGGGGAGCAAACAGGAUUAGAUACCCUGGUAGUCCACGCUGUAAACUAUGAUCACUCGCUGUUGGCGAUACACUGUCAGCGGCUUAGCGAAAGUGUUAAGUGAUCCACCUGGGGAGUACGAUCGCAAGGUUGAAACUCAAAGGAAUUGACGGGGGCCCGCACGAGCGGAGGAGCAUGUGGUUUAAUUCGAUGAUACGCGAGGAACCUUACCUGGGCUUAAAUGCAGAACGACCUCCCGAGAAAUCGGGACUUCCUUCGGGACGGACUGCAAGGUGCUGCAUGGUUGUCGUCAGCUCGUGCCGUGAGGUGUCGGGUUAAGUCCCAUAACGAGCGCAACCCUUAUCCUUAGUUGCCAACAGGUAAUGCUGGGAACUCUAAGGAAACUGCCUACGCAAGUAGUGAGGAAGGUGGGGAUGACGUCAAAUCAGCACGGCCCUUAUGUCCGGGGCUACACACGUGCUACAAUGGUCGGUACAGAGGGCAGCUACCUGGCAACAGGAUGCUAAUCUC